GGGCGAUUAGCUCAGUUGGCUAGAGCGCUUGCUCGACAAGCAAGAGGUCACUGGUUCGAGUCCAGUAUCGCCCA
rfam:Planctomycetes bacterium RIFOXYB12_FTLL_42_10 rifoxyb3_full_scaffold_22124_curated, whole genome shotgun sequence.